AUUUAUUAACAUUACAUUUUUCACUCAUCCUAUCAGUGUUUCAUGAUUGCAUAUCAAAGCAAAGAAUCCUUUAAGAUUCUUAGCUAUCCUUUAGGAUUGCUUACGGCACUUACUACAUUUCUCUUUCAUUUGUUGAUAUUAAAAAAAAAAAAUGUUUCAUUAUCCCUACUAUAUUCUGGGGACUUCCAGGUCUAGAGCUUCUAUUCUGGGGAUGGACAAUAAUAAAACACUUCUUUUCCAAGUCAUCCCAACAAGCGGAACAUAGGGACUUAAAGAAGCUGAGUUUCAGCGUACAUGGAAAUAGCAUAUUUCAUUAUGCAAAUAGAUUUCUCCUGGACUGACCUGCAUCAUGAAAGACCAUCUGCUAAUUAUACCAGGGGGCAAGUCUACAAAGGCCAAAUUACAUUGUGUGUGUGGUGUCCUUGAUUUGUUUCUGAGAACCAAACAAUAUUAAGGGUUACAGAUGGUUUAAUUAUUGACAGUCACUCCAUUGCUUUCUCCCUGUGGGUGUCAGGGUGUGAGGCUCUGCUCGCCUCACAGCAAUGACUCAGUUACCCUGGCGAAGGCUUCCAGGAUCUCCCGAGGCUCAAAGAUAAAGAAACUGAGGCACACAGAGGUUAAGUACCUUGCUGAAGGUCAUACAUGCAGAGUGGUUUGACUAUGGAACCUAGGCUUUUGAUCAUGACAUUGUACUCCUUUGUGCAGAGUAUCUUGGGCAUAAGAGGCCCCCCAAAAGGAGAGAUAGUGCCCUCAAGAAGAUUAUCAAGAUUAAAUGAAGUAAAAAGGAUGGACCCCUAAUUCAAUAGGAAUGAUGUGAUUAUAAGAGAAAGAAACAUCAGGACACAGAGGCAAGACUGUGUGAGGACACAAUGGGAAGGUGACAUCUGCAACUAAGGAGAAGAUUCUGAAUAAACCAAAUCUGCUGACCUCUUAACCUUGGACAUCCAGUCUCUAGAAAAGUGAAUAAAUAAAUUUCUGUUGUUUAAACUA